GCAUUCUUUUCUACAGCCAGUAUCUCUCUCCUAUACAAAGUGAACUUCAGUGAGGAGAUGGCUGAGCAAGGGGAGACAGUCACUGGUCCAACUGAAUAAAUGAACUCCAGUGGCAGCAUGUAACAGGAGUUAUGAUGGAGGGGUUUCCUUACUCAUUAUAAUGUCUGUAAAUACAGUGGUGAAUCCAUUGGGAUUUGUUUUUUGCUUAGUUAUAAGGCAACAAGAGUAACAGAUAUACAUAUAUACUGUUUUAUUCAUAUAUGUUCAAUAUGUUGUUAUGUUCUAUGUGGUCUUGAAACUAAUACUGAUGGUUAAUAUUAAAAAACAUAAAGCCUCUCUACUGUCCCUAAGGGCUACAUUUUCAAGAGAUGAUUAGAUUGUGUAGGCUCUAUGUAGUGGUUUAAUCUACUGAUGGAUAUAAAAUUUGAACAGAGUAUUGAGAGGUGGUGGAAUUUGCUGUGUGGAUAAAGGAUACCUAGAGAGGUGUCCUUGGGAGUUGUAUCUUGCCUACCACCUCUGCUUCGUGUCCACCAUGGUGUGAAUUGAUGUUCUACCAUAACCUACCUGCUGUGGACUGACACCUCUGUAACUCUGAGCCAAAAUAAACAACUCAUCCUUUAAGUUGUCUCUGUUAGGUGUUUCAUCCCAGAACACAGAAGGGCAAAUAAUGUAGUAGUCAUCUAGCUUUACAAUGCCUUUCUUCCUCUACCUCCAAACCCUAAAGCUUCCCACUGAGAUUUCUAACUAGCUGAACUUUCAUAUGCCCCUUAGAAUAUUUUAAUAGAAUAAAUAAGUUGUUGGAUGCAUUUUCCUAGAGUUAGGAUCCAAACACUAUUCUCUACAACUGCUCUUCUGAUACGGGAGACACAAAAGAGUAUGUUUACAUUCCUGUUAUGCAACUUUGAUGAAAGCUAUUGUGGAAUCGUUGCCAUAGCACUAAAGACAGAAUAGAUUGCUUAUUCAGGGCUCUCUGUGACUAGAGAAUUGUCUCCAUUCUCAAACCGCAGUAGAGCAGAGUGUCAAGAGAUGCAAAUGAGAUGAGUUUAUUCAUUUCCUCAAGAUUUCUGAACUUCCUUCAGACUGCCCUACUGGGUCAACCUUCUCAAGUUGCCUCUGGGCCUUGAUGUAAGCAGUUCUCCAGACACUAUAGAUCCGUAACUCCCACACAAAUGUGCUUCCCAAGUGAGUCCGUGAGUUGGACUAGCUGUCCUUCCCCAGACACCAGAGUGUCCCUAGCACCCUUGUUUUUAUAAAUCAGCACACCAUAUGAGGCAUUAAUGAAAUAUGUAGCUGUCUGCCUUCCAGCAUGCUGUGUGCUCUCUGAAGACUGUGUAUUUCUUCAAUUAUCCUUAGUACUUAAGAACAAUGGAUACUUUUUAUUGAAUAAACUAUGAAAUAAUGGACUAUGGACACACUUAUAAACUACUUAAAAGAUUAGCUUAUCCUGUAAAUAUAUUCUUGCAUAUAUUUUUAUCUGAUUGAAUAGAUGAUUCCAUGUUGGUCUCCUUACUGGAGACAAAUGGCUAACUGAGGUGUCUAUUUAACAUAUCAAAGCGGACCUAACCCCCAAGCUCCCCCAGCAUGCCUCAGUUCUCUCCCUGUCACAGGAUAUGGCUAGCAUACCUCACUCCCUACCCUAAACUGAGCUGGACUACCCUUUCCCCAUCUGCCUCCCACUAUGUAAUCUAGCCAUUUUGGCUCCCUGGCCCUUUUAUCUAUCCUUUACCCUCCUGGCCUCUUUGGUCUCCUCAUCUCCUGGCUCUCUCCUCGACUCUGCUGCUCUCCUCACAUGGCCUGGCUCAGGGUUAUGUUCACUAUGGACUCUUGCCAGAUUUCUCUGUGAAUGGCUAUGCUCUCCCUUUAAUCAACAAUAAACGUUCUCCUCCACCAUACCUAGGAGCAGUUAGAUCUUUCCUUUUUUGUUCAUAUUUUCUUUCACCCACCAGUUGAAAACUGCAAUAUUUUACAUAGCACUGGACAAUAUGAGCACCGAAGACAACCAGUUUGUCACUUACUAGGUCGUUAGCAGCAUCCUAUUAGGGACAUAUUAAAGUGCAAAAGAAACACAUCUGAAUAUUGCAAUCAACAACAAAGUUAUCUUUGUACAUUUGCAAACUGCAUCUUGUUGGACAUGUGACUCGUGCCUUUUAUUCUAUCACGUUGAAGGCAGAGGCAGGCUGACUCUACAAAUUCCAGGCCAGGCUGGUCUAUAUAGUGAGUUAGUUCCAAGCCAGACAGGGAGGGCUACAUAGUGAGACUCUCUCUCCCAAGGAAAACAAAAUGUCC
rnacentral:lncRNA from 1 species